rnacentral:rRNA from 1 species
UACGUAGGGGGCAAGCGUUGUCCGGAAUCAUUGGGCGUAAAGAGCGUGUAGGCGGUUCGGUAAGUCUGCUGUGAAAGUCCAGGGCUCAACCCUGGGAUGCCGGUGGAUACUGUCGGGCUAGAGUGCGGAAGAGGCGGAGUGGAAUUCCCGGUGUAGCGGUGAAAUGCGCAGAAUAUCGGGAGGAACACCAAUUGCGAAGGCAGCUCGCUGGGACGUUACUGACGCUGAGACGCGAAAGCGUGGGGAGCAAAACAGG